GCUUCCCUGGAGCUGCUGGACGAAAGGGUGAUGAGGGGCAGCGUGGUCCUCCUGGUGACCCAGCUAAAGGGAUACUUGGUCCUCCUGGGAAAAAGGGUGCUAGGGGGGAUGUGGGACAAGUUGGGCCACCGGGACCACAACGAAUCAAAGGAGAUCAAGGGGAUAAAGGUGAAAAGUUGGGUGUAUGUUUACUGUUUUGGAUGUGAAAGUACAGUUAAUUGUAUGUAUUGAUCAGCUGCCAGUCUGAAUGUCCUGAUUUGUUGUCUCCUGGGUUUUUGAAGGGCAGUUCUGGAUUUGGAAUCCCCAGUCAGCCUGGUCCCAAAGGAGCGAGUGGAGAAAGAGUGUGUGUUUAUUGAGGCUUGUAGGUUGGCCUGUAUAGAAAAGUGUGCUCUUCUAACCACAGGACACAAUGCAGAAAACUGAAAAAAUGUCCACAUGUUAAUUUUACAUGCCUUAUAUGAAAUAU